AGCGCGCCGCCGCUCGGGAAAGCGCAGACCCCCGCUCCAGCGCCGGCCAGACGUCGUGCAGCGGCGACUUGAGAAACUUUUUUCCUCUUUUUAUUUACACGGGAGCACUCCACAGUGUUUUGCAGCUUUCCUAUUUCACUAAACUACAGCCCAUUCUGCUCUGAUAAGUAGCAGCGUUGCCCUCGAUUGGCUGCACCCGAGUUCUGACCCUCCUCCUCCAGCGAGGGCCUCGGCAGCCAGCAAGAUGGGCUCCCGCUCCCGGAAUGGACUCGGAAACUUUAACUGCGGCUCCACCUGCUGGUGUGGAUUAGGACAAAGGCGGAGAACAAAGUCUGACGGUAACUGCUGUAAAAGACUCAGGAGAAUGGAAUUUGGAGGCUGGGGCAUUAGUUCUUGCAGAUGCGGGCCUUUGCUGUAUUGAUGAGUUCAAUAGCCUCAAAGAGCAUGAUAGGACCAGUAUCCAUGAAGCAAUGGAGCAACAAACCAUAAGUGUUGCUAAGGCUGGCCUCGUGUGCAAGCUGAACACAAGGACCACCAUCCUGGCAGCAACGAACCCCAAAGGCCAGUACGACCCCCAGGAGUCGGUGUCUGUGAACAUUGCCCUCGGCAGCCCACUCUUAAGUCGAUUUGACCUGAUCCUGGUUUUGCUUGAUACCAAGAAUGAAGACUGGGAUCGUAUCAUUUCCUCCUUUAUCUUGGAAAAUAAAGGUUACCCAAGCAAAUCAGAGAAGCUCUGGAGCAUGGAAAAGAUGAAAACCUAUUUCUGCCUCAUAAGGAAUCUGCAGCCCACACUGUCUGAUGUGGGCAAUCAAGUUCUUCUCCGGU
rnacentral:sRNA from 1 species